GGAUGGGUUACGUAAAGUUUCCAUCGUCCAAUUGAAGAUCCAACAAAUUUAACUAAUGUUUAAAUGUUUACAUAAUGCUAACAAGUCCAUGAAGCAGAUCUUUUCACCAGGGGCUUCAUUUGCUUGUCUUCUUCAAGUGACAUCAUACCCAGAUGAGAAGGAUCUUCUAACAUCAUCUUAGCCACCAAGUACCCUGAAAUCGACCAUGUUUGGAACUUGCGAGCCUGCUUUCCAACAAAUCGACCAAGUUUUCCAUCAUAAUAUUCAGGCCAGUGGUCCUUUGACAAUCGGGUUUCAGUGAGUUCAAUGGCACGCCUUGCAAUUUGUGGACGCCCAGUUUUGAUACAGGCUGCUGUAAGGAGCCAUAGAAGUACUGGCCAAGAGCCUCCAUUGUGGUAACUCCACCUUGUAUUCUUUGGGUCACAGCCAGUCACAAUACGCCAUUCAUGACUUUCUAUGGCUGGAUAACAGAUCUUCAAUGGCAUUUCUCCAACCAAUUCUUCCCAACGGGAUUCAAUGAGAUCCAUUAUUGCUGAAGCUUGCUCUGGGGUUGCUAGGGAUGACAAAAUAGCAACACAGUUACCCAAGCAGAACCAUCGGAAGUCCAUCCUUGCUGGACUCACAUUUCCAAUGAAGUAGCCACCACGAGUAGGCAUGAAAUCAAACACCCAAUCUGGAAGAGAGUCAGGCAUGACAUUGAACUUGUUAACUGCAGUAUGAGAGUACUCCUCUGUUUUAUAUCGAUAUAUAUCAUUAAGCUGCUUCAGAUCCAGCCAAAAAUAACUGCGCAUGUGAUAGCUUAAAGCAUGGAGGCGUGAAACUAUCCUCUCAAUAAAUUCCUUGCCCUCCUCAUCAUGUUUAAGUAAAAUCGAAGCACACCUUAAAGCCAUAAAGAAGAGUGCUUGUAUCUCAAUAGGAUAUCCAUAUACACCCAUUCUACGGUCAAUCAUACAGCAUCCAUCGGCACAGAGCAGAGUUGGGAACGUUUCAAAGCCUUCUGACAGGCACAAAGUCAGGAUAAGGCGCAUACCCCUUUGGCAAUCUGGUCUCUCAGCCAAGGAAGAAUCGCCAGUAGACUUCGUAUAUGCACGAAGCAAUAUAAUCCACCAA
rnacentral:misc_RNA from 1 species